rnacentral:rRNA from 1 species
GACGAACGCUGGCGGCGUGCCUAAUACAUGCAAGUAGAACGCUGAAGGAGGAGCUUGCUCUUCUGGAUGAGUUGCGAACGGGUGAGUAACGCGUAGGUAACCUGCCUGGUAGUGGGGGAUAACUAUUGGAAACGAUAGCUAAUACCGCAUAAUAACAGUUGUUGCAUGACAACUGUUUGAAAGGUGCAAUUGCAUCACUACCAGAUGGACCUGCGUUGUAUUAGCUAGUUGGUGGGGUAACGGCUCACCAAGGCGACGAUACAUAGCCGACCUGAGAGGGUGAUCGGCCACACUGGGACUGAGACACGGCCCAGACUCCUACGGGAGGCAGCAGUAGGGAAUCUUCGGCAAUGGACGAAAGUCUGACCGAGCAACGCCGCGUGAGUGAAGAAGGUUUUCGGAUCGUAAAGCUCGGUUGUAAGAGAAGAACGAGUGUGAGAGUGGAAAGUUCACACUGUGACGGUAUCUGACCAGAAAGGGACGGCUAACUACGUG